UUGCCCGGGCUUUAGCCUGCCAGGGCCUCCUUCUCUGGCGUCCGCUACACAACUGCGGUGAGGGAGUCAGGCAUAGUUCGGGCAGAAGAAGAAAGAGCGAGUACGCGAAGAGCUUUGAUGUCGAGGUUACUAAGGUUUCUUUUCACGUGCUUCGAGAGAAAGAAGCCUUUUAACUGUGGAGAGAGACCCUCGGGAACGGGGGAGAGGGAGAGCAGUAGUAGCCGGAGGAAUAAGCUUGCGACAGGUUAUCAUUUGUUGAGCUGUAGAUGCCUAAGAUCAAAGCAGCCUGGAAUGCUGAGUCAUCCCGUGGAGGAAAAUUGCCCAGAGAGUCAUUUGGACCUGUAGCAAACUUUGAGCAAGAAGAAACACAAAAAAGAAAAAACCUUCGUCAUGACCCAAACAUGAGUUCAUGAAUCUGGCUCUGGAACAUCUGCCAGAGGGACACGCACUGUAUCACCCCCAAUCGCCCCUGUCCACCAACAACUAAGCCUUGUUACUGGGUCAGCUCUUUAAGCCUGCUCCUUCUUGCUUUAGAAUGAACUCUCUCUCUCCCAGGAGGCUCCUCAGUCAUUAAACAGACUUCUGUUUAGCCUGGCCCAUCAGUGCCAGUGCCUGGACACAUCUCAAUGCCAAAUAGACACAACUUGACCUCAACCCAGGAGGCCCACCAUCAUUAACUCAGCGUGGCCUUACACUGUGAUCAGUGCGGCUCCUGGGUAUCAAGGCCAGUCAGAAAUGGAUUUCUCUUUAUGAUAAGCAUUCCUGACUCACCUGCUCACAGAGGCUGUUGGAUGACACUUACCCCGACUGAACAGAGGGACCAGUGCCCACGUGAGAAUUGUUAGCAAAUCUGUCGUAGAGGAACAGCAGCAUAACAUCAGCAGAUCCUGGACAUUGCUGGAUAAUUCUCCUCAUCAUUUUGCGCAUCUUAGAGGAAAAUAAUGAUCAUACCUCAUUCUGGACAUCAAGUUCUUCUUCCAUCAGCACUGCUUCCAUUAAUUCAAGAGGAUCUUUACUGUCUUGGAUGAGAGAGAUCUUGACAAAGAGCACACAGAGAAUAUUUAUUAGAAAUAUAAUAGCAUCGACCCACCUGAUACUCCACUGAAAAUGAUUUGAAGCUUUGCUGGUGCUUCUCAUCUAUAAUCUACAUACUUCACAAUCCUUUUCAGCUUUCUUGUCCUUUUACAUUUCCCACUUAGAAUUUCCCCUAUACCAUUUAUUCACAGUCAAGUGUGAACUGGUCUAGUUCUCCAUCGUCUAACCUCCUUUUCAGCUCUCUUCCCCAAUCUCUGAAGCGUGUGCCUCUUAACGAGUCACCCUGUCUGCCUAAGUGAUUCAGCAGUCAAUAGUGUUUUUCUUUCAACGGCUAAGCUAAGAGCACUUAGUACAGCAUUGAGCAUGCAGUGAAGGCCCACUGAAAGGCUCGUGACCAAUGACAAUAAACAGUCCCAAGUUGAAUUGGAUGGAAAUUAAUUUUAUUGACGAUUGAAACCAAUGUCUAUGGACCUAGUUGGUUGUUCUGGAAAGUUAUGCUUUUUAGUGGUAGUAUGUAAUUUAAUCUUCUACACAGAGGAAACCAAUAACAGUUUAGGCUUUGUCUUAUGCAUAAAGAAUGAGAUUCCCAAAGCAACUCCAAAUGUAUAUCAAGGCAAAAGUGACAUUUCAAAGUGCUUUUUAGUCACUUUUCAUCUCACAAAUAAAUAGCCCAGUUCUCUUUACUAGUGUGGAAAUGAAUUAGAAACUUAAGUCCCUGUGCACGUGGUCAUGACGAAAUGGGAAAGUUAGAGGAUAGGUGUGGACUACAAGUGGAGGCUGUCCUGGGAUAGUCCUUGUGAUGGUCAAUAAAGGGAUAGGGAGAGGGUCAUAUCACUGCAUCCACAGUAUCCAUAAUACAUGUUACCCUUCCUGAAGAAAAGGAAAGCACCACACAUGAGAUUUAUCAUCAUUUACCAUACAUCUACCGUAUAUAGGGCUUUGUGCUAGACACUGAGGGUACACACAAGUAUAUGGUUCCGACGUGACAGGCCACCAGUAGUGCUCAACCCUCAAUCCAAUGAACCAGUAAGUGUAUAAUACAAGCACUCAAUUAUACUCGGUCUGACAUUUGUUCAGGGGGAAAAAAUCCAUCCCAGCCAUUCACAGUGCCUCCCUGAUUGCGAAGACCAUUGAGUCUAACACUGGUAGAGGCACUCUUGGUUAGUGGUUUUUGUGACAUUCAUGGGAUCUGAGAUCUUGGAUCAGAAUAGGGUGUAAACAAAUAACAAUUUUCAUGUUGAGAAAGAACUUGACACCUUGGUUCUAUUUUACUUUUAAUGUGGAGUCUUUUUUAGCUUCUUUAUAUGAUCCUGCUUUGUUGUUGUUACCUAUGGGUUAGAAUUUUAGAUUAGAAAGAAAAAGGUUUGAAUUUUCAAAGAUUAGCAUCUUGCAGUAGCUUUUUUGUUUUUUUUAGAUUUGUGAUUUUACUACUUUUCUUUUUUUCCUUAUUUGUAUUUAAAAUCCACAUCUUGGUAUUUAGGACAAGUAUUUUCUCCAGCAGCAUUAAGCAAAACAAUUUCUCCACUAACAAUAGCUGAAAAGAAUAAUGUGCUAUUGUUUUCUAAAUUAGUUUUACUUCAAACAUUAACUUCCAAUCUAUAAUAAGAACCUACUUAUCCUAAUUUUAGGAAAAAAAAGGAAGCAAUCCAAAACACAGGAGACUGUGUCACUGGAAUAAUUAUUGUUGUUAUUUUUAUGGGUAUUUGUUUUAGUUUCCCAGAUUCACUGUGAAAGGGUCCAUGAGAGAUGAAGUUCUUGUACCAGGCCCACCAGUGGGCCCAGCCCAAUGGCCCAGACCAGAAUGCUCAACUCUCCUGGGUAUUUGACAGCAGAAUUGACAGAAUGAGGAGGCGCAAGGGAAAUCACUAUCUUUUCUGUUUUGUGGGGAAUAAUUAACUCUGGGCUGAUUCAUGGCUUUUAAUUUUUUUUUUUCUUUUUCAAAAAUCACUUAUGACCUAAUGGAUCCUAUUUAAAGACAUAUAUAAUCAAGAGUUUCCAGUUUGUUGAGAAUUUAAAUUGCAUUUGUACAUACAAAUCACAGAAGAUCCAAGAUUGAGUGCCUGUGUUCUAAAACGGCACUACAGCUAAUGCCUAUUUUCCUCAGUAAAUCCACACAUUGUAGAAUUGAUAGUACCAGGUACUAGAACUAGGUGCUUUUCUCUAAACUAUCAUAUUUAGUCUUCGUAUCUACCCAGCAAGGUAAAUGUUUUUACUCCCAUUUUACUGAUGAGAAAACUGAGGCUCUGAGAAGUUAAGCAGAUGGCUUCAAAUCCCACUAGGUUGGGAUUCAAACCUAGAUUUGUGGAAUUUUUGCCAUUUACAGAAGUCAUGAUAGUUUAGGAACGAUACAUAUAUAGAAAGGUUAAAUAUUUACCGUUUCUAAAAUGGAAUCUUGAACCUCUCGGGAUUUUGCCUGGUUCUGUACGUGGAGGACAGCAUCAUGGACAGUCAAAAAGAAUAUGUCCUUUCUGAUGUUAUCAUCAAAGAAACCACAUUUCUCCAGUUUUUCUGUCACAUGAUCUUCAAAAGAAAGAGAUAAUGUUUAGUUAGUCUCUAGGAAAAUAUAUUUUUAUAAUAACCAAUUCUAAGUUUUGGUAGUUCCUCCUUUUAACUCUUCUUUCUCAUUUCCAAAAUGUGACUCUGCUCUAAACUGACUGCGUUUCUUUUCCAGUAGCACAUGGAAUGGUUAUAUCACAGCUGGUUUAGCAGAUGGCCUUGGCUCCUGACCAGGGCCCUUUUGCCAUUGUACCCAUCCUCCAGCUGCUGUGAGCCUGGCUGCUAAUGGUUCACAGCUGUGCCCUUCUCGGGAGAACUUUCCUUGGCGGAUGGGAGCCUCCUCACCUGAAAAAGCCUGGGAGGUUACAGCCCUACCCUUGGGUGGCCGGCAGCCACUGACUGACUGAUGUGGGGGUAACAAGGCCAUCCCUCUUGCCUCAGGAGGCAUAACCUUCUGUGUGUGUGCUCUGUGGGAUCAGGCUAACUGAAUCAGGCUAGACUUCCAAAACUGUGUCUUUUUGCAGCUUCUUGCCCUGCCCUAUCCUGCUCUCCUCACUUCAUCGUGAAUUUUCUCAGAGUGUACCCUCUCAAUAAAUCACUUGGGCAAGAAUCUUUAUCUCAGGCUCUGCUUUUGGAGAACUCAGCCUAAGCACUAAUAUUUUCCUACACACAUACACUCAUACAUGGACACAGACUCAUACCCUGCAGGAUCCUCUAGUUCUAAGGGAUCUAAGUCAUCUCUAGCUCUGCUCUCUCCAUGAUCAUUUUUCCCCGUUGAUCCUGCACCACUGUCAGGACAUAGGUUCCCAUGCAUUAACAGCUCUGUGGCACAGAUUGGAAGUAAUAUCUCUCUCAGUUCAAAAAGGCCCUCAGAGUGAUUGCUUAAUGGAUAGAGUUUCUGUUUGUGGUGAUGAAGAAUUUUGGAAAUACGUAGAUAGAUGGUUGCACAACACUGUGAAUGUACUUAAUGCCACUGAAUUCAUUGUACACUUGAAUGUGACUAAAAUGGCAAAUUUUAUGUUAUACAUCUUUUACCAUAAUAAAAAAUAGUUUUUUUUAAAAAAACGCCUUUGGACAUCAUGUACCCACAUUCCAAGGUAGGAGGAAAGUCUUAGAGGAAAGUCUUAUAGAUAGAUAGAUAGAUAGAUGUAUAUGCAUUUACCUUGAAGCGAUGCAAAGUACACGUUUACAUCAAUUCUUUGGAAUUCUCUGACAACCUAAAAUAUUAGAAAGGAGAUUUGUAACAAUGAGUAACUUUAUCUGCCCAUAAUUCAGUCGCAAUCAGUUACUUGCUCGGGAGCAACUUCAACACUUUCAUGGUUAAUCAGGACUU